GACAGAGGUGCAAACGUUGUUCGGAAUUACUGGGCGUAAAGCGCGCGCAGGUGGUUCCUUAAGUCUGAUGUGAAAGCCCACGGCUCAACCGUGGAGGGUCAUUGGAAACUGGGGAACUUGAGUGCAGAAGAGGAAAGUGGAAUUCCAAGUGUAGCGGUGAAAUGCGUAGAGAUUUGGAGGAACACCAGUGGCGAAGGCGACUUUCUGGUCUGUAACUGACACUGAGGCGCGAAAGCGUGGGGAGCAAACAGG
rnacentral:rRNA from 1 species